rnacentral:rRNA from 1 species
UACGGAGGAUGCAAGCGUUAUCCGGAUUUAUUGGGUUUAAAGGGUGCGCAGGCGGAAUGGUAAGUCAGUGGUGAAAUCUCCCGGCUCAACCGGGAAACUGCCGUUGAUACUGCCGUUCUAGAGUACAGUUGGGGUGGGCGGAAUGUGUCAUGUAGCGGUGAAAUGCUUAGAUAUGACACAGAACACCGAUCGCGAAGGCAGCUCACCAAGUUGUAACUGACGCUCAUGCACGAAAGCGUGGGGAUCAAACAGGAUUAGAAACCCCAGUAGUCC